GUACUCAUUUCAGCAGCACAUGUACUAAAACUGGAAUGAAACAGAGAAGAUUCAAAUGAUCCCUGUGCAAGAAACAGAACUUUUUAUUGAGCAAUAGAAUUAUUAG
ensembl:snRNA U6 U6 spliceosomal RNA